rnacentral:rRNA from 1 species
UACGUAGGGCGCAAGCGUUGUCCGGAAUUAUUGGGCGUAAAGAGCUCGUAGGCGGCUUGUCACGUCGAUUGUGAAAGCCCGAGGCUUAACCUCGGGUCUGCAGUCGAUACGGGCUAGCUAGAGUGUGGUAGGGGAGAUCGGAAUUCCUGGUGUAGCGGUGAAAUGCGCAGAUAUCAGGAGGAACACCGGUGGCGAAGGCGGAUCUCUGGGCAGUAACUGACGCUGAGGAGCGAAAGCGUGGGGAGCGAACAGG